rnacentral:rRNA from 1 species
AUUGAACGCUGGCGGCAGGCCUAACACAUGCAAGUCGAACGAGUGGCGGACGGGUGAGUAAUGUCUGGGAAACUGCCUGAUGGAGGGGGAUAACUACUGGAAACGGUAGCUAAUACCGCAUACCAUCAGAGGUCCCCAGAUGGGAGUCGCUUGUUGGUGGGGUAAAGGCUCACCAAGGCGACGAUCCCUAGCUGGUCUGAGAGGAUGACCAGCCACACUGGAACUGAGACACGGUCCAGACUCCUACGGGAGGCAGCAGUGGGGAAUAUUGGACAAUGGGCGCAAGCCUGAUACAGCCAUGCCGCGUGUAUGAAGAAGGCCUUCGGGUUGUAAAGUACUUUCAGCGGGGAGGCGUUACCCGCAGAAGAAGCACCGGCUAACUCCGUGCCAGCAGCCGCGGUAAUUC